rnacentral:rRNA from 1 species
AUUGAACGCUGGCGGAAUGCUUUACACAUGCAAGUCGAACGGCAGCACGGACUUCGGUCUGGUGGCGAGUGGCGAACGGGUGAGUAAUACAUCGGAACGUGCCCAGUCGUGGGGGAUAACGUAGCGAAAGCUACGCUAAUACCGCAUACGAGCUAAGGUUGAAAGCGGGGGAUCGCAAGACCUCGCGCGAUUGGAGCGGCCGAUGGCGGAUUAGGUAGUUGGUAGGGUAAAGGCCUACCAAACCGACGAUCUGUAGCUGGUCUGAGAGGAUGAUCAACCACACUGGGACUGGAAGACGUGCCAUACUCCUACGGGAGGCAGCAGUGGGGAAUUUUGUGCAAUGGGCGCAAGCCUGAUCCAGGCAUUCCGCGGGAAGGAUGAAGGCCUUCGGGUUGUAAACUGCUUUUGUACAGAACGAAAAGGCUCUGGUUAAUACCCGGGGGUCCUGACGGUACUGUAAGAAUAAGCACCGGCUAACUACGUGCCAGCCGGCGCAGUAA